UACGGAGGGUGCAAGCGUUAAUCGGAAUUACUGGGCGUAAAGCGUGCGUAGACGGUUAUUUAAGUCGGAUGUGAAAGCCCCGGGCUCAACCUGGGAAUUGCAUUCGAGACUGAAUAGCUAGGGUACGGUAGAGGGAAGUGGAAUUUCCGGUGUAGCGGUGAAAUGCGUAGAUAUCGGAAGGAACAUCAGUGGCGAAAGCGACUUCCUGGACCAGUACCGACGUUCAGGCACGAAAGCGUGGGGAGCAAACAGG
rnacentral:rRNA from 1 species